rnacentral:sRNA from 1 species
AGUCGAAUAUCAUCAACUUCCGCAAAACGUUACAAACAUCAUUAUGUCGUCAUGGAGAAAAGGAACCACAAAACAAUACAGAUGUUACCUCAACAAAUGGGAGAUUUUCUGUAGUAGACGGAAUAUCAAUUCAAUUCACACAUCUGUAAAUAAUGUGUUGAUUUUUCUAACGGAAUUAUAUGAGACGGGCGUCGGAUAUUCUGCUAUAAAUACAGCGAAGAGUGCAUUGUAGAAUGUUGUUACACUUGCAGGAAUGGACAAUGUGCAGUUAGGAAAUCAUGCACUUGUAAAGCGUUUUAUGAAAGGAAUAUUCAAUUGUCGGUCUUCUAUGCCGAAAUAUACUCAGGUGUGGGAUGUUUCUCUUGUGCUUCAGUACUUGAAGUCAAUUUCUCUGGAAAACAUAUUGAAACAGUUGACGUUGAAAACAGUGAUGUUCACAGUUGCUGGCUGUUUUGUCUGGACAACGAGUACAAACGUUGGCGGUAUUAUCUACUACUAACAUGAGUUUGACGAACGAUAGUGUACAGUUUUAUAUAGAUCAACUGUUGAAACAAAGUAGACCAGGAAAACAUUUAGGAUUAAUUCGAUACCAUGAUGAAAAUUUGUGUAUUAUAAAACACUUGAAUAUGUAUGUGUACAAAACAAAACAUUUACGUGAGUCGGAUAAUUAACUUAUUAGCUAUCAAAGACCACAUGGUGCGGUAACGCCUGAAACAAUUUCUCGUUGGAUAAAAACUGUGUUGGCAGCGAGCGGUAUUGAUUCAUCCGUAUACUCCGCGCACAGCACGAGAGCAGUUUCGACCUCAUCAGCGUUAGCUCAGGGAUGUCCAAUUGACGUGAUUUUAAAACAAGUGGGGUGGUCAAGAGCAGAAACAUUUGAAAAAUUUUAUAAUAAAACUACUGACAAUAAUUAUGCAUGUAAUGUCGAUCAGAAAGUGUUGGAAAAUGUUUGAACAUAUAAUGUACAGUGACAAGUAACAGAACUGAGACAGUUUGAUAUAUAUUAACGUGUAAUGCAUAUAUGAAUGGUGUUUUUGGAUUAUUCCUAAUCAAAUUAAAUGAUGUAGCU